UCCCUGGUGGUCUAGUGGUUAAGACUCUGCACUUUCACUGCGGGGAGUCCAGGUUAGAUCUUGGUCGGGGAA
rnacentral:tRNA from 1 species